AAUUUACCAGUGACAAGGUUACAGGCUUGUUAUGGCACCGUGGCCUGGAGCCCAGGGCUCCCCGGGACCUUGGGGAGGGGGGCUGGGAGGAGGGACGGGAGCACACAAUGGUAGGAAAUGCGCUGGGUAGGAGUCAGCUCUUCCUCCUGGCUCAGGCCUUCUCCGCAGGUCUGCAAAACCGACUUUCCAAGCCACUUGUCCAUCUCUGGGCUUGGGGCAUAGUUCUACUUAAUUCAGUUUAGCUUUUUCCCCCCAUUGAGUUCAGCAUUUUCUCCCACUCUACUUUCAGAUAUUUGGGGGGGGGUGCUUUCACAACUAGCCCAAUUGUUUCACAAUCACAAUGCAGCUUUGUGAGGCUGGACUAACCGGGACAUCUGACACAGGCGAGGAACUUUAGGACCUUGUUUUCUUUGCCUGGCAGCAGGCCUGUCAGGCUAAGGCUGGAUUCCUACCUUUGCUUUGGGACACAGUGCCCCACCUAGCUCUGGUCUUCUUGGGGAAGGAUGUGAGGACCACCCCCCCCCCAACGAUGCAUGCCAAAUGAAGACUGAGUGCAGUGUCCAGGCACUGAGAGGUGGGGGUGCUGGGGCUUCUCUAUGAGAGGAGAUGGUGGAAACCUCUUGUGGAUGCGGGGGUCCUGGCAGAAAGUGGAUGCCUGGUGCCGAGUGGGCACACAGGAUGGUCUGUGCUGGAAACGGAAAGGAUGAAACAAACCCCUAUUUUGCCACCUCCAUUGAAGCGACUCUGAGCCUACGUGAGUUCAAGUGACAGGCCAUUGUAAAAUGCUUAGAAUCAAAGGACUCAUCAAGCUGGAAAGGAUCAGAGAGGUUAUUCUGAGGAGUAAACUGAGGCCAAGAGAGCAAGAAGAGUUCAUACAAAGAGGACCUUGUACACGUACCCAUCCUACCUCCCGUGGACCUAGAAUGUCACGUGUCCUUGAGCCCUACGGGUCAUUUGGUUCCAAUUUCCCAUUCACACAAGCGUCACGAGUUACUGGACUUCUCCAGGACAGGGACAGAGGGACUCUGCGCUCCUGAGUCCGAUCUGCCCACACAGAGCCCACCUCCCCCCGUGGAAGGCCUCGGUGGGGGGGGACCCUGAGAAGGCAGCAUAUAGGAGAGAACCCAGAACUGUGAAAUGCGAAGCAAGGGCACCUUACACUCCUGCGUUCCUCCUUGCAAAUGCUUGGCAACUGCUAAUCAUUCAUUUGGUUACUAAUUAUACCCUGUACUAUGACCCCUCAGCCUCUUCUGUUUGGAACCUUACUUACACCUUUUAUUGUUGAUUGACUUUCCUGUGCUGAGCCAAUAAAAGCCUGCACAGGCCUUACAGACAAUGAACUUAGGCCUUGAUACUGUCUCCCCUCUCCACUCCCAAGCCCAGCACUUCUGCCACCCUGCCCCCUGCCAGUCACACCCUAUCUACUACCUGGCUUUAUAGGUACCAGGCACUCGAUAAAUGGUUGUCUUUUAAAAGCACUGAGCUUCCAGCAGAUAUGUGGAGAUGUGGCUGCUGAUGCAUGAUGACAGAGAAGAGCUGGACAACAGAGCGAGCGGCGUGUGUCCAGCCCGGUUUCCACUCUUGGAUCCACAAACCAGCCUGUGACAUUGAAGUGCUUUUCCAUCUCUGGGC
rnacentral:lncRNA from 1 species